rnacentral:rRNA from 1 species
CAGUAGCGCGGUAAUACGAAGGGUGCAAGCGUUACUCGGAAUUACUGGGCGUAAAGCGUGCGUAGGUGGUUGUUUAAGUCUGCUGUGAAAGCCCUGGGCUCAACCUGGGAAUUGCAGUGGAUACUGGGCAACUAGAGUAAGGUAGAGGAUAGUGGAAUUUCCGGUGUAGCAGUGAAAUGCGUAGAGAUCGGAAGGAACAUCUGUGGCGAAGGCGACUAUCUGGGCCAUUACUGACACUGAGGCACGAAAGCGUGGGGAGCAAACAGGAUUAGAUACCCCUGUAGUCCCUGUCUCUUAUACC